UACGUAGGGUGCAAGCGUUGUCCGGAAUUAUUGGGCGUAAAGAGCUCGUAGGCGGUUCGUCGCGUCGGCUGUGAAAACCUGAGGCUCAACCUCAGGCCUGCAGUCGAUACGGGCGGACUUGAGUACUGCAGGGGAGACUGGAAUUCCUGGUGUAGCGGUGAAAUGCGCAGAUAUCAGGAGGAACACCGGUGGCGAAGGCGGGGUCUCUGGGGCAGUAACUGACGCUGAGGAGCGAAAAGCGUGGGGGAGCGAACAGG
rnacentral:rRNA from 1 species